CGGGGCCGAACGCCAGCCCCGCCCCCUGCCCGCUGCAAGAGGGGAGCUGUCCCUGAAGGGGAAAGGACGCAGGAUCCUUUGCUCCAGACUCUUCCUCGUAUCUACAAUAAGAACCUCCCCUCAACCAUGCCUUGGAGAGACCAUUGAAGUGGAAACCUAGGGGGUCUUUGGAAAGUCGAUUGGAUGGUGUUUUGCUGGGGCAAACACAUGAAGGAACGAUUCCUUAAAGUGGACACAGCUUCCCAUUUGUAGGCUAAGAUCCUGGAGAUUCACUGCCCCAAGCUGAGGCUCUUCCUUGCCACAGGAGCACUUCGAGACUCGUGUCUUUCUCAGUCAACAUCAGAAGAGUGUCCUCCUGCAGUAGACGAGAACAAAUACAGAGACCCACAGCUGGACUAUGUGCAGAGAGUGAGAGAUUUUCCAACACUCAGUUCUAACUGGGAUGUCUUCAUCACAUUUCUCCCCGAAGGGCUCAGGGAACUCUGUGGAAGAGAUGGCAGAAAGAGACAAGGAAUGGAAGACACCAAGGAAACAAGGCCCUCUAAACACAGUAAGACUGGUACACACAUGAACUCACAGAGACUGUGGCAGCAUGCACAGGCCUACCUGGGUCUAAGCCCGAUGGGGUCCCAGGACCAAGAAGGGAAGUAAGCAGAAGCCCAUGUUCUUAACCCUCAGUACCCAACAAAACCCCAACCCCAACUGCCCCUCCUUCAUCACCAUAUCCCGGCCUACAUCUCCAGUGGCCUCCUAUCCCCUCAGAGGCCAGGCCAGAAUCCUGAAAACCAGGCAGAAAUCUCCUAUUCCACCAGAGAACAGGCCAGAAUCCUCAACUCCAGAGGACCCCCAGGGCCAUCAGAAGGCACACACAUCAACAGACCUUCAGACCCAAAUGUGGGGAGAAACCCCCUACUUAACAAGAGUCAUUCAGGCCAUAAGAAGUCCAGUUCCCAACUCAGGUGGAGAUCCUCUAUUCAACAACAGGCCACUCCAGCCAGAAGACCAGAUAGGAAACAGAAACCAAGGGAUAAAACACCCAUCCAACA
rnacentral:sRNA from 1 species